CCUACGGGAGCAGCAGUGGGGAAUAUUGCACAAUGGGCGAAAGCCUGAUGCAGCGACGCCGCGUGAGGGAUGACGGCCUUCGGGUUGUAAACCUCUUUCAGCAGGGAAGAAGCGCAAGUGACGGUACCUGCAGAAGAAGCACCGGCUAACUACGUGCCAGCAGCCGCGGUAAUACGUAGGGUGCGAGCGUUGUCCGGAAUUAUUGGGCGUAAAGAGCUCGUAGGCGGUCUGUCGCGUCGGAUGUGAAAGCCCGGGGCUUAACCCCGGGUCUGCAUUCGAUACGGGCAGACUAGAGUGUGGUAGGGGAGAUCGGAAUUCCUGGUGUAGCGGUGAAAUGCGCAGAUAUCAGGAGGAACACCGGUGGCGAAGGCGGAUCUCUGGGCCAUUACUGACGCUGAGGAGCGAAAGCGUGGGGAGCGAACAGGAUUAGAUACCCUGGUAGUCCACGCCGUAAACGUUGGGAACUAGGUGUUGGCGACAUUCCACGUCGUCGGUGCCGCAGCUAACGCAUUAAGUUCCCCGCCUGGGGAGUACGGCCGCAAGGCUAAAAACUUAAAAGUAGUAAGUUGGACGG
rnacentral:rRNA from 1 species